UCUAACUGUAGCUCCCUGUUGACGAAAACUGUCCAAAUCCAUUUUGUCAAGAACGUCUGUUAUUUUAGCUGAAGAGAAAAACAAAGCAAGAAAAGGAGAAGUCUCCAGAAGGGGUCGUAUCCCUCAUUUAUAAGGGUCUGUGCAGAAAACAAAGUGAGAAAUCACCCUCUCCGCUGAGGUCAGGAGCCUGGCUUUUAUACUAGGUGCAAUAAAUGAAGCAAAGACGUAAUACUGACAUAGCGGAAUGGGAAUGAAACUGUUGCAGCACCAUGCAAGACGUCCUUUUGUUCGCAGGGGCCAGCACAAGCUGCUCCCUAGAAAAACACAGAGGAGUCUAUAGGGGAGUCUUCUUUCUCCUCCCCCAUGGAAACGUAUAUGUCACAGAUUAUUUUGAACCCUCUGCAAUAUCUUCGUAUUCGGAUGCCUUGGAAGGGGGAGGAACGCAUGUCCUACUCCAGGAAGACUUGGCAGUGAGUUCCCAGUUUUACAGAUGACGCAUUUACUCGAUUAUUUUUAGCACGUUAUUACCAGGCUGCUUUGGCUUAUUUCAUGCCUCCUUCUCCCCCCAGCUGUGCAGUUUUGCUGGGGAGGAGCCGAGUGCACCGAGCACUCACCUGCCCUCUGCCUUCCUCCCACCCCCGUGCUGCGGUGACAGCCUUGGCCAGGGACUCAUGAGUGGUUCCCAGGUAGAGCUGGCUGCUCUCUGGGUGCAGCUAAUGGAGUUGUUGGAGCUCCAAGCAAAGUCCCGGUGCGAUGCGUGCUCGGCUGCACUGCGAUAACUGAUUGUGCAUGUCCUCUGCCCGUGACAAACGCAGGCUCAGACCCUGGUGAAAUACGUUUAUGGGCAUUCUGCUCUGCCCCCGACCGUGCUGUUGGCGUGUUGCAGGACGCGGACCUGUUAGUGCUGGAGAGCUGAGCAGCCCCAGUGAGCACACCAAAGUACCAGACUGGUAUCAGCUCUGUGAUCAGCCCAAGGACCAGGUGAGAGGCGAUGCCAAGGGGCGCAAAGCGGCACUGGAUGCCAUAAGCCAGCACAAUAGCCAGGCUGCCAAAGGAAGGAAGUGGAAUUCUGGGCAGUUUGGAGGUUUUGAAGACAACCUUGCAAUGCUCAACGGUUCCUGA
rnacentral:lncRNA from 1 species